rnacentral:rRNA from 1 species
AACGAACACUGGCGGCAUGCCUAACACAUGCAAGUCGAACGAGACCUUCGGGUCUAGUGGCGCACGGGUGCGUAACGCGUGGGAAUCUGCCUAAAGGUUCGGAAUAACAGUUAGAAAUGACUGCUAAUACCGGAUGAUGUCUUCGGACCAAAGAUUUAUCGCCUUUAGAUGAGCCCGCGUAGGAUUAGCUUGUUGGUGGGGUAAAGGCCUACCAAGGCGACGAUCCUUAGCUGGUCUGAGAGGAUGAUCAGCCACACUGGGACUGAGACACGGCCCAGACUCCUACGGGAGGCAGCAGUGGGGAAUAUUGGACAAUGGGCGAAAGCCUGAUCCAGCAAUGCCGCGUGAGUGAUGAAGGCCUUAGGGUUGUAAAGCUCUUUUACCCGGGAUGAUAAUGACAGUACCGGGAGAAUAAGCCCCGGCUAACUCCGUGCCAGCCGCCGCCGUAA